rnacentral:rRNA from 1 species
AUUGAACGCUGGCGGCAUGCCUUACACAUGCAAGUCGAACGGUAACGCGGGGCAACCUGGCGACGAGUGGCGAACGGGUGAGUAAUGCAUCGGAACGUGCCCAGUAGUGGGGGAUAGCCCGGCGAAAGCCGGAUUAAUACCGCAUACGACCUACGGGUGAAAGGGGGGGAUCGCAAGACCUCUCGCUAUUGGAGCGGCCGAUGUCAGAUUAGGUAGUUGGCGGGGUAAAGGCCUACCAAGCCGACGAUCUGUAGCUGGUCUGAGAGGACGACCAGCCACACUGGGACUGAGACACGGCCCAGACUCCUACGGGAGGCAGCAGUGGGGAAUUUUGGACAAUGGGCGAAAGCCUGAUCCAGCCAUGCUGCGUGCGGGAAGAAGGCCUUCGGGUUGUAAACCGCUUUUGUCAGGAAAGAAAUCUUCUGGGUUAAUACCUCGGGAGGAUGACGGUACCUGAAGAAUAAGCACCGGCUAACUACGUGCCAGCCGCCGCCGUAAAAC